GGUUCCAAGUCAUCGUCUAUUGGGAUUUAAAAUCUGUUAGGAAGAGAUUUUGGAGUCGAAAUCUUGGGAGUGGUUGUUGAUCAAGUUUCUUUGGGACCGUUACUUCAAAUCGCUGUCAUCGUUUGGUUGUCUGAUUUGAUUUGUGGAUUUUCAAUUAAGGUAAGGGUAGAGAUGCACCGGCGAUGGAC